GCGACCUUGCAUGUUGAGUUGAUACUCGAGCUAGGAUUUGAAAGUUCAGACUUUCUUUGCAUUCUUUUGGGUUAUAAUAUAGAAUUUAGUGGCUUUUUCCUUCUUUUCCCCUCUUUAUGCACACAUGCCAAGUUCUGAUAUGGAUCUAGGGCUCAUACUUUUGCUUGAACAGAGGGUUUUUUCUGCAAAAUCUCAUACUCGGGUUUGCAUGCAGUGCAGGCACACUAGGAGUGGCAUUGUGUAUGUAGCAGUGAAAGGAAUAACCUGGAGCUCUAACAAACCAUUUUAUCUCUCUCUUUCAGGUCAUCACAUGGAGUGGAUAAUGGAAUGCUUGGAUCAACAAAACUGGUCAGAAGAAUCUUCUUCAGAACUCAUCAAUAUAUCUAGGGAAUGAUGGGUUAUUUCUUUUCCUUCUUCAUACAUUCUUCUUCUUCUUUUGUGUUUACAUUUCUAUGAUCAAUGAGAUCUUUUCUCAGUUAUUCUCA